AAAAAAAGUAGUUUUUAUUAUGAGAUUUUCUUAUACAGAGUGGGUAGCUGCAAGAACUCUGUAAUUUCUUUGGCUCCGUUUGGUUGGCGGUAUAAGUGGGGAUAACGAAAGUUACCCUGCUAUUCCGCCAAACAAAAUAAUUUUUGGUCGGAAUAUUUUAUCCCGGUCAAACCUUACUAUUCCCGAUUAUUCCGGAAUAGCUUGGGAUUACCAUUCCACCAUUUUGAUGGAAUAGUGCUAUUCCCAUGUUUAAUUUCAAACUUUAAUUAAAAUUAUUGAAUUGAAUUAAAACUAAAUUAUAUAAAUAUAAAUAUGUUAUAUAUUAUAAUACAUUUUUUAUUAUAAAAUUAUUAAUUGUACUAUAUUAAUAAUAUUAUUUAUAUUUAAAUUUUAUAAUAAAUUUUAUAAAAAAUUAUAUUUAAAUAUUGUAAUAAAUUAUUUUUAUUAAAUUUAAGUUUAAAUAGAAAUUUUAAAUAAAUUAUAAAUUUAUUAAUAAUAAAAAAUUAUAAAUUUAUUAAAAUAUUUAUUUUUAUCAAAUUUAUAAUUUUAUUAUAAUAAAUUAUUUUUAUUAUUGAUUAACUACCUAUUCUAUUUAAAAUUUGAGAUUUUAAAUUUUAAAUUUAAAUUUAAUAAUUUGAAAUUUAAAAGUUAAAAUUUUAAAUUUUAAUUUAAAAUUUUAAAAUUUAAAAGUUAAAAUUAAAAAUUAAAAAUAUAAAUUAAAAAUUUUAAAAUUUAAAUUCAAAUAUAAUGAGAGGGUAAUAUCAUUAUUUAUAUUUAUAACUACCAACUAUUCUUCUUAUUCCAUCUUACCUAACCAAACGCUAUUUUUCUUAUUCUCAGGAAUAACUUAAUUUUCAUCCAAACGUAAAAUUGAUCUAAUCUCCGCUUAUAUCUCAAUUUAUAUUUAUUUUUGCAAUAGUUAUUUUUUACUUAUCUCCGAACCAAACGAUAUCUUAAAGCAUAAAUUUUCAACAGCUUCGAUGUUUAGAAAAUUCUUGCACAUUAUUUGGACAGCUCAGUAGACGCACAUGUAGAGCCCGUCUCUAAGGAUGACAGCAAUCCAGUAGUUGACCAAAAAGCAAGAUCCAAUAGUAGAGAUGGACUCUACUUUUAGUAGCUUGCAAAGACUUUCAUACAGACGGUGUGCAAAGUACUGUUGGGAAUUCGGUAUUCGCUCCGAUACCGGAUCUUGUGAAUCUGCAACCCUCUCCGAUACCGAUUGCUGUGGAUUCGGUAUCGAUUGUUGGGAUUACGCAACGGAAGUAUCAAAUUGGACUUUUACCAUAAACCCGUCUCCUCAGCAAAAACUUAUACAAUUACAAAAGAGAGAAAAAUCAAAAUAGAAAAUAUGCGGUUAAAAUAAAAUACAUUAAAUAAGAGAAGAUUAUACGUGACUCCUCUUCUAUAAUAGAGUAGUUAUAAUCCAAGCCCUCUUUCUGAAUCUCUUCUACCCUUCUCUCGUCUUUUAUAAAUCUGAACUUUUUCUCUCACAUGCAUCCGUGCACUAGGUGCAAGCAACCGGCCAACUCUCUCUCUCUCUCUCUGGUACAAUCCACCAAAGAGCUUUAACUUUUUGGCCGCACACUCUAGAUCUCCAAAAGCAUCCUAAAGGGUGUUUUUAUAAUACAUCCUUUAAAACGUACAUGAAUCCUAGUAUAUUUAGGAUUCCUACUCUAAUAAAUAUUUAAAUAUUAAUUGAUUUAUCUCUAACAGAUUUAAAUAUUUAUCAUAAUCUAGUUAGAUUUAUACUCUAAUUAAUAUUUAAAUCUUAAUUUAUCUCCAAUAGAUUUAAAUAUUAAUCAUAAUCCAAUUAGAAUUCAACUACAAAUCUAACCGAAUCCUAACAAUCUCCACCUUGAUUUGAUUUGUAGUCUUCAACCGCUGCGUCGA
rnacentral:lncRNA from 1 species